GGCGGUAUUUUAAUCUAUUCAGAGGAACCUGUUUUAUAAUUGAUAAUCCACGUUGUAUCUUACUUAAUUUUUUAAAAUUUGUAUAUCGUUGUCAUAAGAAAAUCUUAAAAAAGAAAUAAUUUUCUAAUUUAUAAUUAGUUUCAUAAUAAAAUAAUUAUGUCAGAUCAAGGUGCAGUUUAUAAUUAAGAAAAAAUGGGUUACAAUUAAUUUAUUAAUAUGGAUUAUAAACUUAAAUUUUUAUAUGAAAAAGGAUUUGAUAGUAAAUUUUUAAGAUUAUAAAAUUGAUAUAGUUCUAAAAUAUGU
rnacentral:rRNA from 1 species